AACGAACGCUGGCGGCAGGCUUAACACAUGCAAGUCGAGCGCAUCCUUCGGGGUGAGCGGCGGACGGGUGAGUAACGCGUGGGAACGUGCCCUCUUCUACGGAAUAGCCUCGGGAAACUGAGAGUAAUGCCGUAUACGCCCGCAAGGGGAAAGAUUUAUCGGAGGAGGAUCGGCCCGCGUUGGAUUAGGUAGUUGGUGGGGUAACGGCCUACCAAGCCGACGAUCCAUAGCUGGUUUGAGAGGAUGAUCAGCCACACUGGGACUGAGACCCGGCCCAGACUCCUACGGGAGGCAGCAGUGGGGACUCUUGGACAAUGGGCGCAACCCUGAUCCAGCCAUGCCGCGUGAUCGAUGAAGGCCUUAGGGUUGUAAAGAUCUUUCAGCUGGGAAGAUAAUGACGGUACCAGCAGAAGAAGCCCCGGCUAACUCCGUG
rnacentral:rRNA from 1 species